UACGGGGGGAGCAAGCGUUGUUCGGAUUUACUGGGCGUAAAGGGCGCGUAGGCGGUCAGCACAAGUCAGUUGUGAAAUCUCCGGGCUUAACCCGGAAAGGUCAACUGAUACUGUGCGACUAAAGUGCGGAAGGGGCAACUGGAAUUCUCGGUGUAGCGGUGAAAUGCGUAGAUAUCGAGAGGAACACCUGCGGCGAAGGCGGGUUGCUGGGCCGACACUGACGCUGAUGCGCGAAAGCCAGGGGAGCGAACGGG
rnacentral:rRNA from 1 species